rnacentral:rRNA from 1 species
AAAUUGAAGAGUUUGAUCAUGGCUCAGAUUGAACGCUGGCGGCAGGCCUAACACAUGCAAGUCGAACGGUAACAGGAAGCAGCUUGCUGUUUCGCUGACGAGUGGCGGACGGGUGAGUAAUGUCUGGGAAACUGCCUGAUGGAGGGGGAUAACUACUGGAAACGGUGGCUAAUACCGCAUAACGUCGCAAGACCAAAGAGGGGGACCUUCGGGCCUCUUGCCAUCAGAUGUGCCCAGAUGGGAUUAGCUAGUUGGUGAGGUAACGGCUCACCAAGGCGACGAUCCCUAGCUGGUCUGAGAGGAUGACCAGCCACACUGGAACUGAGACACGGUCCAGACUCCUACGGGAGGCAGCAGUGGGGAAUAUUGCACAAUGGGCGCAAGCCUGAUGCAGCCAUGCCGCGUGUAUGAAGAAGGCCUUCGGGUUGUAAAGUACUUUCAGCAGGGAGGAAGGUGUUG